rnacentral:rRNA from 1 species
GAUGAACGCUGGCGGCGUGCCUAAUACAUGCAAGUCGAGCGAACGGACGAGAAGCUUGCUUCUCUGAUGUUAGCGGCGGACGGGUGAGUAACACGUGGAUAACCUACCUAUAAGACUGGGAUAACUUCGGGAAACCGUAGCUAAUACCGGAUAAUAUUUUGAACCGCAUGGUUCAAAAGUGAAAGACGGUCUUGCUGUCACUUAUAGAUGGAUCCGCGCUGCAUUAGCUAGUUGGUAAGGUAACGGCUUACCAAGGCAACGAUGCAUAGCCGACCUGAGAGGGUGAUCGGCCACACUGGGACUGAGACACGGUCCAGACUCCUACGGGAGGCAGCAGUAGGGAAUCUUCCGCAGUGGGCGAAAGCCUGACGGAGCAACGCCGCGUGAGUGAUGAAGGUCUUCGGAUCGUAAAACUCUGUUAUUAGGGAAGAACAUAUGUGUAAGUAACUGUGCACAUCUUGACGGUACCUAAUCAGAAAGCCACGGCUAACUACGU